GUAGGUAAUACGAUAAUACAAAAUUGAACUGUAC
rnacentral:guide_RNA from 1 species